GAGCAUUUCCAGCAAAAGUGUGAAACGCCUACGCGGGGAAAUCAGUCCACUGGACUGAUUUCUGAUCCCGCUUCGAUACGCAGGAUAAUGCGAUAAAACAAAUAGUUAGAGCGGUUCUAACGAUUCCGUUUUAACCGGAACCGCUCUAUAGCCACUUGUCGUAAUCAGACACAAGCAGAUGCAAGGGCUGCU
rnacentral:misc_RNA from 1 species